rnacentral:lncRNA from 1 species
CAUAUUUUCUUGGAAUGAGAGUUGGGACGACGAUUAAACCACUUGUGGAUUAUUUGGUUUCGUUGGGUUUGCCAAAGAAAAUUUUGGCAAGGAUGUUGGAGAAGCGAGCAUAUCUACUUGGUUAUGAUCUUGAGGAGACGGUGAAACCUAAUGUGAAUUGCUUACUCAGUUUUGGAAUUAGGAAGGAUGCUUUGCCUCCUGUUAUUGCAUAUAUCUACUUGGUUAUGAUCUUGAGGAGGCGGUGAAACCUAAUGUGAAUUGCUUACUCAGUUUUGGAAUUAGGAAGGAUGCUUUGCCUUCUGUUAUUGCACAAUAUCCACAAAUUAUUGGUUUGCCUUUGAAGGCUAAGCUGUCGUCGCAACAGUAUUUCUUUAACUUAAAGCUCAAGAUUGAUCCUGAUGGUUUUGCUCGAAUAAUCGAGAAGAUGCCGCAAAUUGUUAGUCUACACCAGCAUGUGAUAAUGAAACCUGUCGAGUUCCUUCUUGGACGGGGAUUUUCAAAAGAUGCCACAAAUUGUUAGCCUACACCAGCAUGUGAUAAUGAAACCUGUCGAGUUCCUUCUUGGACGGGGAUUUUCAUCUGAUGAUGUGGCAAAGAUGAUUGUUAAAUGUCCUCAGUUAGUUGCAUUGCAAGUUGGCCUCAUGAAAAAUAGCUAUUACUUUUUCAAGAGUGAUAUGGAUAGAC